GCCAUUUUCGAGUGAUGCCUGAUCUCAUCAAUCUAGCGGGAGGGAAGGGAUAACCUGUCCGAGCCUAGCGCGACGCUAGGAUCACGCCGGAAAAUCCCCCAAAAAUCAUCAAAAAAAUUAACUUAGAGCAGAGGGCAGUCGGUGGGGCUUCGCCAGAUGCGGCGCAGUCGGUAAGAGCCUCAAGUAGCGAAGCGGGUCUCGAGAGGUGGCAGCGAUGGGACCGGAGGACCGUGAGGGGAGCAGGGACCGGACUCGGGGUCUGCCCUCACUUUCGCGGCAGAAGCUCCCCCAGGGGAUCCGGUUGCUUUGUUACCUGUUAAGUCAUUAAGAACCAGAAAGGGUGAAACAAAUGAAAAAAAUAAAUAACGUUGCAUUUUCACCUCGAUUUGGGAGCAGUAAAAGAUUUUAACCAUUAGAAGAAUACCAGUUCUGGAAAACAACCAAAGUUUCUUUGAUUGAAUGCCCAUGUAAUGCAUUGGAAUAUGAUAGGCGAUUAAGGUUUAACAAUGUUAAAAUGAAGAUAUUACUAAAAUGGCCCUCUAAAUAGCCCAACAAUUAUUAUUUUCUUUGUCCUAUGGAUUUGGCUUUGAAAGAUGUGCUGCUCUUAAUAAGUCAUUAAACCCAGAACCUCAGAGGGCUCUACUACUAAACCAUAUACCAGUACCAAAACCGAAAAAUAUUGACGAUACUUUUGUGCUGAAUAUUCCUCAGCCUUAACUUACUAAUGCUUAUGCCCAAUGGAUCUUCCUUCAUGAAGUACCCUCUCCUCCCCCCCAUUUAUCUUUGGUGAUUUUAAUAAAUAAUACCUUUGGAAAA
rnacentral:lncRNA from 1 species